UGGCCCUCGCAAUGCCUUCCACUCGGUCGAACAGGAACUGCCCGGGAGGGGAGGGACAAGGGAUCAAACUCAGGACCUUGUACUUUCGAGGUUUGCCAAACCUUCCACCACUGACCUCUGCCGGCCCCUUGGGCUUUUAUAAAUUCGCACUGACCUGGACCAAGGCUGUGGCUGCCAGGACACGUUCGGGCCGAUCCAGGGCCAGGCGCAAAGCCAGCUGAGCACAGGUGGGAGUCGGGCUCUGGGACGAGCCCCCAGGGAAGGCAUGCGGGCUCCAGGACACUUCGGACUGAACAGAGUGGGAGGCUGGCAAAUUGGUCUCACCCCAGCCUGCCUGUGGUUCCACACAAGUCAGGGUCUCUCGAUGUAGUCCAGGCUGGCCUUGAUCUCACUAUGUAGCCCAGGCUGGCCUCAAAUUCCUGGUGAUCCUCCUGCCUCUGCCUCCCCAAUGCUGGGAUGAUGGGCAUGUCGUGCCACGCUAGCUUUUAAAUCAUCUCCUGAAGACUUACAAUACUUCCUACCAUGUCAGUACUAUGAGGACAGUUGUGAUACUACAUUGUUUAAGGAAUGGUGCAAGAAAAAGUUCUCCAAGUUUAGUACAGAUGUAAUUUUCUUUUCUAAGAUUGUUUUCAAUUUGUGAUUAAUUGAAUCUGGGAAUGAGGAACUCAAAGAUACAGACAGCCAACAGGAAUUUUAAAUUAAUCUAAAAAUCAAUUUUUAAAAUUAAUUUAAAACGUGCGUGUGUGUGUGUGUGUGUGUGUGUGCGCGCCUGUGUUAGGGCCUCUGUGUACCCCAGGCUGGUCUCGAACUCCUGCUCCAGAUGGUAAUCUUGUCCCUGUUUCCCCGGCUGUAUUUCCCUCGCUCAGGAGCUGUAUGGGCUGCUGGGCCCUUAAUCGGGCAGAGCGGAUCCGGGAUAUUUCUGUCACUGCAGGAAGUUCUGUUGGACGCUGCUGCCUGGAGAAAUCAUCACUGGUGGCUGGGCCAGAAGAGGAGCGGCGGGAACAGGCAGGUGGGGUGUGGCUGGGCCAUGGGGCACGAGACAACAUAGGGCGUGGCCAUGCCAGCUAUGAGAGGCAGGCAGGGAGGGUAUGGGAGGGACAUGGGGCAUCAUCGAGUGGUGACAUCUGGAGAUCUGCUGACAAAGGCUGUAAUCCUGGCACUUUGGGAGGCUGACGAAGGAGGAUCACAAGUUCAAGCUCAGACUGGACAACUUAGCAACUUAGGCUGUGACUCAAAGUGGGGAUGUAGCUCAGGGCAUCCCCCAGUACUGCAAAAAAAGGAGGCGUGGGAUGACCACAGCCUUUUCCCCCUCUGUGCCUGUGGGUCCUCAGGUGGGAGCAAGGCCCUUGAGUGAGGCCUGGGACAUGGAAGCCUGUCACAGAGUCCUGCCCUUGCCACCGAAUCUAAAAUUCCCACACCUGGGCCACCUGGAGCUAUAGUCUGGCUUCACCUUCCCACACACACUCAUCUCUACCUGAGGCUGCAGUGUGUCCUCUUCAAAGGACACGGGGUCCACGAGGACAGGACAACACCCAGGAGAGCAAACCCUCCCUGCAUCCCUCAGAUGGAGGCCACUGCUUCUGCCCCAGGCCCAGGAGGGCCACAGCCAUAACUCAUGGGUACAGGGCUCCAAGCAGGCGGCCCGGGGGGACCACCACACAGGAGCACUGCAGCUGAGGCAGAGAAAGCCUUCAACAAAAUCCACACCCUUCCAAAGCACUCAGGAGGCCAAGGCAGGAGGAUCCUGUGAGUUCAAGACUAGGCUGGGCUACAUAGCGAGACCUUGUCUCAAAAAACAAAACAAAAACAAAUUUUAAAAAUCUACACCCUUCCGGGAUAAGACUCACUCAGCAAACUAGCAAGAGUAGAGGACUCUCACAUCAUGGCAAAGGGUAUUAAAAACAAAAGGAAACCAAAUAAAACACCCAAGGUGAACAUCACACUCAAUACUAAAAUACCAAAUGCUUCCACCGAAGAUGAGGAGUCCCACAGGGAGGCCUGGUGGGGAACCUCUGCUCAGCACAGUACCGGAAAUUCUAGCCAGAGUAAUCAGGCAGAUAAAGAAAUAAAAGGCUUUGAAUUGGAAAGAAGCAAAAUCUAUCACUCUUCACAGAUGCCAUGAUGCUGUACACACAGAUCCUACAGAGCGCGCGCAUGUGCGCGCGCGCACACACGCGCACACACACACACACACACACACACACACACAACCGUUAUAGCUGAGAAAUGAACUCAGCCACACUGCAGGAACCAACACAGAAAAAGCAGUUGUAUUUCUAUGCACUAGAAGUGAAUAAUCUGCAAGGGAACUAAGAAGGCAACUCCAUUAUAUAGCCUCAGAAAGAUUAAGAAUGCUUGGGAGUGAAAUGAAUCACGAAGUGUAAGACUUUCCCUAGAAAACUACAAAAUGUGGCUAAAAUUAAAGAAGAUCCAACUAAACAAAAAGACAUCCCAUGUCCAUGGAUUGGAAGACAGUAGUCCCCUCAAAGAUCUGCAGAAUGGAUGCAAUCUUUGCCAAAAUACUAGUGGCCUUUUCCAAAACUAAAAAACAACAACAACAACAACAACAACAAAAGUUGAUCCUAUAAUUCAAACAGAAUCUCAAAGGGGCCUAAAAUAGUCCAAACAACUUUAAAAAGAAAAAGUCAGAGUUUUCACAAUUCCAAAUUUCAAAAUUCACUACAAAGCUACAGUAACCAAAGCAAUGUGGAAUUGAUACAUGAACAGACAGAUAGACCAAAUGAAGAAUAUCCAGGCCAGAAAUAAAUCCAGAUCUCUGUGACCAAUGACUUCCUACAAGGGUAUAAGACCAUUUGAUGAGGAAAAACACCUGGGGUGUAGCUCAGUGGCAGAGUGCUUGCCUGGCAUAUGGAGGGGCCUGGGAUUCAUUCCCAGCAUUGCCCAAAGUGGGGCAGUUUAACAAGUGGUGCUGAGAAAACUAAACAGCCACAUGCAAAAGAAUGAAGUUGGAGACUUUCAUCCCAGCAUUCUGGGAGUCUGAGGCAGAAGGACCUCAAGUUUGAGCCCAGCCUGAGCAACUUAGUGACUGAGUGAGAUCCUGGCUCAAAGUAAAAAAUAAAAAGAGCUGAGAAGGGAGCUCAGUGUGAAGGCCUUGGGUUCAAUCCCCAGUACUGAAAAAAAGAAAAAGAAACCACACUCUUACACCAUGCACAAAAAUUAAUUCAAACUCUAUCAAGACCUGAAUAUCAGCUGAAACUAUAAAAUCCUAAAAGCACACACCUAGGGACAAAUAGCCAUGACACUGAAAUUGGGAAUGGAUUUUUAAACAUAACGCUAAAAGCACAAACAACAAAAGAAAAAAGAUAUGGGCUUUGGUACAAUUUUUAAAAUUUGUUCAUCAAAGAACACUAUCAACAGAGUACAGAGACAGUUCACAGAAUGAGAGAAGACAUUUGUAAGUCAUGUAAUAGCCGUAACAUAGAAAGAACUACCACGACUCAACAAUAAAAAGACAAUCCGGUUUUUUAAACAGGCAAAGGACUUAAAUAGAUAUUUCUUCAAAGAUAUGCAAGUCACCAACAAGCCCCCCCACCCCGCCCCAAUGUGCUGCCAUUAUAGAAAUGCAAAUAAAAAUUCUGAGAAACUACUUCAUACUAUUAAGUUGGCCACAUUUAUUUAACAAAAAUAAAAUAACAAAAGGUGACAAGGGUUUGGAGAAAUUGGAACCCUGGUGUACUGCCAGUGGGAAUAAUGUGGUCUCUGGAAAUCAUUUUGAUAAUUCUUUAGAAGAAAUUGCCACAUAACCCAGCAAUUCCACUCCUUAGUUUAAACCCCAAAUAACUGAAAACAGAUGUUCACACAAACACCUGUAUGUGAAUGUCCAUAACACUAUUCACAACAGCCAAAGGUAGAAACAACUCACAAGUCUGCCAACUAAUGAAUGGAUAAACAAGAUGUGAUAUGCAUAUACGAUGGAAUAUUAUUCAGCUAUGAAGAGGAAUGGCAUUUGGAUAUAUACUAGA